GUGUUGCGUAGGCCAAAGCAGGGAGGGGCAGGGCGUCGGCGACGCGACCUUCCCAACAUGGCGCCCAAUUGGCGUGCAUGAAGGCGGGUCUGGCAGGUCGCUGAGGCCAAUGGCGGACCGCAUGAGGCGGUGGGGCGGGGAGGAAGGCCGCUGUUCGCCCAACCCAAAGCUCCGGUGGCGGCUGAGGAGUGAAUCUUCUGGAAGGCGACUUUAAAGGCGCCGGGCCGGAGCGAAGGGCGUCUCGGGGCCGCGCCAGCCAGGGAGGGAGGGCGCGUUUGGUGGCAGGAAACGCGAGCCGCGUCGGGGUCGGGGCGGAACCGGACGGCGAGCGGCUCACGAUGAACCACAAGAGCAAGAAGCGCAUCCGCGAGGCCAAGCGAAGUGCGCGGCCGGAGCUCAAGGACUCGCUCGACUGGACCCGGCACAACUACUACGAGAGCUACCCGCUGAACCCCGCGGCCGUGCCGGAUAACGUGGAGAGAGCUGAUGCCUUACAGCUGUCGGUGAAAGAGUUCGUGGAGCGCUACGAGAGGCCUUACAAGCCCGUGGUUCUGCUCAAUGCACAAGAGGGCUGGUCCGCACAGGAGAAAUGGACUCUGGAGCGCCUCAAAAGGAAAUACCGGAACCAGAAGUUCAAGUGCGGCGAGGAUAAUGACGGCUACUCGGUUAAGAUGAAGAUGAAGUACUACAUCGAGUACAUGGAGAGCACCCGCGAUGACAGUCCCCUUUACAUCUUCGAUAGCAGCUAUGGCGAACACCCCAAAAGAAGGAAACUUUUGGAAGACUACAAGGUGCCCAAGUUUUUCACAGAUGAUCUUUUCCAAUACGCGGGGGAGAAACGCAGACCCCCUUACAGGUGGUUUGUGAUGGGGCCACCGCGUUCUGGAACUGGGAUUCACAUCGACCCUCUGGGGACCAGUGCCUGGAAUGCCUUAGUUCAGGGUCACAAGCGGUGGUGCCUCUUCCCAACAAACACACCCAGAGAACUCAUCAAGGUGACCCGAGAAGAAGGAGGGAACCAACAGGAUGAAGCAAUUACCUGGUUUAAUGUCAUCUAUCCCCGGACACAGCUUCCAACCUGGCCACCUGAAUUCAAACCCCUGGAGAUAUUACAGAAACCAGGAGAAACUGUCUUUGUACCAGGGGGCUGGUGGCAUGUUGUCCUCAACCUUGACACCACCAUUGCCAUCACCCAGAACUUUGCCAGCAGCACCAACUUCCCUGUUGUGUGGCACAAGACGGUAAGAGGGAGACCAAAGUUAUCAAGGAAGUGGUAUAGAACAGAUACAGCACGGGCAGCGGCAGUGCAAGCCACCCCCAGCCACCCCGUGCCACUGUGUCCCAACCCUGACCUGGAGGGACCAGCUCUCGGGGUAAGAGAGGGAUUCUGGCUUGCUCAGUGCGCUGCCUCCCUGCUGAGAGGCCAGCAAGGGUGGUGGCUGCUAUUCCCCUGACUCUCGGGCAUGAGGUCUACUUACUCUGCCCUGUAGGCCACUGUGCUGCAGAGAGGCCACUCCAAGGCCACAGCAUACAGCAGGUCCUUUGUCGCUGGUCACAGUGGAUGCCAGGUUAGGUUGCUGCUGGGGAGGGCUACUGCUAUUAGUCAGCUCAGUUUCUCUUCUGAGUGAAGGGGUGGUCUCUUUGUGUGACAGCUUAUUUCUUAUGACUCUAAUUAUCUCUGCUCUUACUAGUAUAAUCUAACCAGCUCCCAACCCCCCUCACUAGCACUGUGCUUUGGGAAGGAAAGGCUUUUUUCAAAAAAAAAAAAAGGAAAAGGAAAAUGAGCCAGAAAAGGUUUAGGGAGAAAAGUAGGAAAGGGGCUGUUUGUCUCAAGGCAAGAACCUUAAGGACCUCGGCCUCCAGAGGUGUGUGGCUGGUGCUCACAGGCGCGUGGCUCUAGAAUGUUGUUUUCCUUCAGCGAGUGUGGACAGCCUGUGUGGUCUGUCCCAGCCCAGUGGUGCCACCUGGAGCCACUUCCAGGUGCUGUAAGCAAUGGAGGCCUUCUCUCUGAGUCCAUGUCACCGUGAGCGGGUGCUGCCAGCAGCUGUCACAGCCCUGAGAACAUUGCCUCUUGCCCUUCAGGAUCUUGAAACAGGAGCACCCUGAGCUGGCAGUCCUGGCCGACGCAGUUGACCUCCAGGAGUCCACAGGCAUUGCCUCUGACAGCUCCAGCGACUCUUCUAGCUCCUCUAGUUCCAGCUCGUCAGACUCGGACUCAGAGUGUGAAUCUGGGUCAGAAGGUGAUGGGACGACACACCGCAGGAAGAAGAGGAGAACCUGCAGCAUGGUGGGAAAUGGGGACACUACCUCCCAGGAUGACUGUGUGAGCAAAGAGCGCAGCUCCUCCAGGUGACCACAUGUGGCCGCUGUCUGUGCCAGGAUAUGCUCGCAGCCAGGCUUGGGGGGCUGACACCCAGAGAACAAGGACACUCAGAUGGGAGUUGGUAGUACGUGGUACAGUGGCUUUUCUCUGUGGUCAUGUCUUAGGGGCAAAGGCGUGUGGAUGGUGCCAAUGAAACCCUUUACCUAUUUAAUAAAAACGGAUACAUUUUA